rnacentral:rRNA from 1 species
GACGAACGCUGGCGGCGUGCCUAAUACAUGCAAGUCGAGCGCAGGAAACUGACGGAACUCUUCGGAGGGAAGGCAGUGGAAUGAGCGGCGGACGGGUGAGUAACACGUAAGGAACCUACCUCAAGGAUUGGGAUAACUCCGAGAAAUCGGAGCUAAUACCGGAUAGUUCAACGGACCGCAUGGUCCGCUGAUGAAAGGCGCUCCGGCGUCACCUUGAGAUGGCCUUGCGGUGCAUUAGCUAGUUGGUGGGGUAACGGCCCACCAAGGCGACGAUGCAUAGCCGACCUGAGAGGGUGAUCGGCCACACUGGGACUGAGACACGGCCCAGACUCCUACGGGAGGCAGCAGUAGGGAAUCUUCCACAAUGGACGAAAGUCUGAUGGAGCAACGCCGCGUGAGUGAUGAAGGUUUUCGGAUCGUAAAACUCUGUUGUAAGGGAAGAACACGUACGAGAGGAAAUGCUCGUACCUUGACGGUACCUUACGAGAAAGCCACGGCUAACUACGUGCCAGCCGCCGCGGUAA